rnacentral:rRNA from 1 species
AGCCACCAUUUAAAGAGUGCGUAAUAGCUCACUAGUCGAGUGAUCCUGCGCCGAAAAUGUAACGGGGCUAAACACAUUACCGAAAUCGUGGAUGUACCUUAGGGUACAUGGUAGGAGAGCGUUCUAAGGACGGCGAAGCUAGACCGUAAGGACUGGUGGAGUGCUUAGAAGUGAGAAUGCCGGUAUGAGUAGCGAAAGAU